rnacentral:rRNA from 1 species
AGAACGAACGCUGGCGGCAGGCCUCAAACAUGCAAGUCUAGGGGGUGUAGCAAUACAUCACCGGCGGACGGGUGCGUAACACGUGGGAAUAUACCUUUUGGUUCGGAACAACGCAGGGAAACUUGCGCUAAUACCGAAUGUGCCCUUACGGGAAAGAUUUAUCGCCAAAGGAUUAGCCCGCGUAGGAUUAGCUAGUUGGUGAGGUAAUGGCUCACCAAGGCUCCGAUCCUUAGCUGUUCUGAGAGGAAGAUCAGCCACACUGGGACUGAGACACGGCCCAGACUCCUACGGGAGGCAGCAGUUGGGAAUCUUGGACAAUGGGGAAACCCUGAUCCAGCCAUGCCGCGUGAGUGAUGAAGGCCUUCGGGUUGUAAAACUCUUUCGACGGGGACGAUAAUGACGGUACCCGUAGAAGAAGCUCCGGCUAACUUCGUGCCAGCAGCCGC